rnacentral:tRNA from 1 species
GCAAGAGUAGUUUAGUGGUAAAAUCCAACGUUCCCAUUGUUGGGCCCCGGGUUCGAUUCCCGGUUCUUGCA